rnacentral:rRNA from 1 species
AGGACGAACGCUGGCGGCGUGCUUAACACAUGCAAGUCGAACGGAGUCCAACCAGUGGCAACACUGGGGAAGACUUAGUGGCGAACGGGUGAGUAACACGUGAGCAACCUGCCCCGAAGACCGGGAUAACAGCGGGAAACCGCUGCUAAUACCGGAUGCCCCCACCGGGCCGCAUGACCUGGUGAGGAAAUGGAUUCCGCUUCGGGAGGGACUCGCGGCCUAUCAGCUUGUUGGUGGGGUAAUGGCCUACCAAGGCGUCGACGGGUAGCUGGUCUGAGAGGACGAUCAGCCACACUGGGACUGAGACACGGCCCAGACUCCUACGGGAGGCAGCAGUGGGGAAUCUUGCGCAAUGGGCGAAAGCCUGACGCAGCAACGCCGCGUGAGGGACGAAGGCCUUCGGGUUGUAAACCUCUUUCAGCAGGGACGAUUGUGACGGUACCUGCAGAAGAAGCCCCGGCAACUACGUGCCAGCAGCCGCGGUAA